rnacentral:pre_miRNA from 1 species
GAGACACCCUUAUGGGGCAGGACUUGCUUCAUUCAGUGGGGCUUUGGUGCUCACUGAGUCUGCCCCCUGAAUGUGUCUCU